rnacentral:rRNA from 1 species
GGCUUGGCUGGGUGGUCCGCUUAACGGCGUGUACUGUCUGGCUGGGUCUUACCUCUUGGUGAACUGGUGUGACCUUUAUUGGUUGCAUUAGGGAACCAGGACUUUUACCUUGAGAAAAUUAGAGUGUUCAAAGCAGGCAAAGCCUGAAUACAUUAGCAUGGAAUAAUAAAAUAGGACGUUCGAUCCUAUUUUGUUGGUUUCUAGGAUUGACGUA